AGAGAGAGAGAGAGAGAGAGAGACACAGACAGAACACACAACACGUCAUUUUUGGUUCUGCUUGUUAGCCAACAUGGUGAGCUAAUUCUACCCAGAAGGUUUAACAACUGGAACACUUUGGUCCUUUUUCUGUUUCUUGCUCUGUGUGGCAGCUCUGGGGCAGUGCUGACUCUCAAGUGCGUACAAACCCUGUUCCCUUUAUCCGCAGCCUUUUAGAGGCUCAGUGCAGACCAGUUGUCUCUGAAUACACUGAAAACUUGAGUACGCAGCUGUUUGUAUUUUGAUUGUUCAUAUUUUGGGAGGGGCUUGGGAACAUUUUUUUUGACUUGCAGCAAAAAUAUUCCCAAUCCCUGCUGGUUUUUGUUCAAACUGUGUUGAGAUAGGGCUGAACUGGCUGAAACAGUAGUAUCAAGACAAACACGAAGCAGGUUUCUUUUGGACCUUAACCAUGAAAACAGUGAUUGUAGAAUUGUAAACCAAAACCUUCAGCAGUCUGCCACCUGAACUGUUACUACGCUUUUAUUCUAACAUCAAAUAUUAUUACUGUGUGAUGCUGUUCUUACAGGGAGGAAAUGUUUCUAUUUAUGACUUCAGUGUCCUAUUGCUUUGAAAAUAAUUAAGAUUUGUACACUAAGCAAGAAGGCCUAGUCUGUUACUUUUCCACUGUCAGUGUCUGUGUAUGGAUAAGGAAAAAAUGCUAAUGAAUGCUAUCAAUCAAUUAUGAUAAAUAAAUAUAGUGUCGUUUGGUUUGUGGUUUGUUAUUGUAAGAGAGACAGAGAGUAGGCAAGAAAGUCUAAGGCAGAAUGAUCUGUUUAAUUUAAUUAAGUUCAAGUGUGGGAAGGGCAGAUACUGAUACAGGAAAUUGGUACUUAUGAGGAAGAGGAGAAGAAAAGUUUGGGGAUAAAGGCUCUAUUGUUUGCACUUGUCCAGAGGGAGAGCUGUGGAGGGGAAACUGUAGGUCUGGAAGGUUUAAGCUCUUUGACCCAGGAGAGGCUGAAAGGAAACUGGACCAAAUCCCAAUGAGACCCUGAUUGAUCUCUCUCUUAAAUCAAUGUACAUAUAUGUCUUGAAUUGCAAGAUUAGGUGCAUACUCUUUUAUUUCCACCAGGAAUAUGUUUUCAGUGUGAGUUAGUCUUUAAGAGUUUUUUCAGAGAUUAAGAAAUUGGCAUAAACGGUGUUACAAACUCAUCUAACACACACCCAAGAGUUUGAACUUUCAGCAGGAGAACAGAUGGGAGGUGAUUUUAGGUUUUGUACUGUAAUUGAUGACUUUUAAAAAAUGUGUCCGACAGAUGUUUGCAACUUACAUCAGUUUAGCUCGUGUGUGUAAAAUGUAAUGACCUCCAUCUUCUCAGGCUGGAAGACAGACUGACACAGACUCACACACACACACAGAUGCAGAUGUUUGACCUUUGAUCACAAGAAUGUACAGCGGAGAUAAGUUCACUUUUCAAAGUGGAGCGAUAUCGUUUCAGGCUGAGCUGGCUGCGUCUUUUAAUCUCAAACUUUUAGAUUGUACAGAAUGUCUGUAUGUGUGCAUAUCUUUCUUUGAACUGUGCAUUGUAGCUCAGCAGCAUAAGCCUGCUGUAAACUGUCCCCACACAGCUGUCAAAAUAAUGCCUUGGUACAAAUGCACGAUUAUUUUCCAAUCACUUUUUAGGAAAGCAUCUGGCCAAUUUUUGAUAAACGUCACAAAUGAAUCACGGGGCAGGAAUGAGGCUUAGAGCCAAAAUCUGUCCCGCCUGGAAAAACAUAUCUGAACUUUUUUCUGACAGUGUUCACUGGCACUGCCCUUCCUUUUCCCUCUCUGCCUUUCAGAGCCUCCCAGGCCCUCGCUCAAAACCACAACCAGCCCUUCUCCCCCCUAGUGCCGCUGCUGUCUUGACCGGUAUUCUGGCAAACAACUAAAGACCCAAAGUCAGAGAUGCCUGACUCAUUGAUGGAGUUUGUCCAGUUGUCAUGAAAAUGUUGAAUUAUAAUUCUGUAACCACACGACAAAUCGACUUUCGAUGCAGCCACUCAUUGGAUUUAAUGGUGAAUUCAUCUUCUCAACUGCCGUUUCCAAGCAGCAGCUCUCCCCUCUCACUGAUGGAUAAAGCUGGAAUCAAGGUGAGCGUGCAGGAGCGGAGAAAAACGUCAGAGUGAAAGUGUGUGGCAGCUCACUGGAGGACAGAGUACCACUUUGUAUGGCACAGCGUUUCUAUAGAAACACACCAGCAUGGCCCAGCUGUGCCAGUGCCAGGAUCCCCUGUCAGUCGACAAACGGACACUCACACUGCUCUUGCUGCUUCUGUUUCACGCACGAACACACUCCUGCCUGUUCUUAUCUUAUUGAUCAUGCCUCAUCCAAAAAAAGCCCCCCUGGAAACAAAAAAUAAAG